UACGUAGGUGGCAAGCGUUAUCCGGAAUUAUUGGGCGUAAAGCGCGCGCAGGUGGUUUCUUAGGUCUGAUGUGAAAGCCCACGGCUCAACCGUGGAGGGUCAUUGGAAACUGGGAGACUUGAGUGCAGAAGAGGAAAGUGGAAUUCCAUGUGUAGCGGUGAAAUGCGUAGAGAUAUGGAGGAACACCGGUGGCGAAGGCGACUUUCUGGUCUGUAACUGACACUGAGGCGCGAAAGCGUGGGGAGCAAACAGG
rnacentral:rRNA from 1 species